rnacentral:rRNA from 1 species
UACGUAGGGUGCAAGCGUUGUCCGGAAUUAUUGGGCGUAAAGAGCUCGUAGGCGGUCUGUCGCGUCUGCUGUGAAAACUCAGGGCUUAACCCUGAGCUUGCAGUGGGUACGGGCAGACUAGAGUGCGGUAGGGGAGACUGGAAUUCCUGGUGUAGCGGUGAAAUGCGCAGAUAUCAGGAGGAACACCAGUGGCGAAGGCGGUUGCCUGGAGCUUUGCUGACGCUGAGGCGCGAAAGCGUGGGGGAGCGAUCCGG